CGGCUGCAGUCGAGAAUAUUCCUCAAUGGCCGAAAGGCUGAAGGAGCGACGUCGCGUGCAUGAAGACGCUCUUCGGAGUGUAAAGUGCUUUUAUCUGGGAAGAAACAAUGACUGUACCAGAUGAAUAAGGGGCUGCUAAACUCGUGCCAGCAGCAGCGGUAAUACGAGUGCCCCUAGCGUUAUCCGGAUUUAUUGGGCGUAAAGAGUACGUAGGCGGUUUAUCGCAUCUCCUGUUAAAUCCCGAGGCUCAACUUCGGGGCUGCGGGAGAGAUGGACAAACUAGAGAUCGGGAGAGGCAAGCGGAAUUGCUGGUGUAGGGGUUAAAUCCGUUAAUAUCAGCAGGAACACCAAAUGCGAAGGCAGCUUGCUAGAACGAUUCUGACGCUAAGGUACGAAAGCGUGGGGAGCGAAUGGGAUUAGAUACCCGUGUAGUC
rnacentral:rRNA from 1 species